UACGGGGGGGCAAGCGUUGUUCGGAAUUACUGGGCGUAAAGGCUCGUAGGCGGCCAACUAAGUCAUACGUGAAAUCCCUCGGCUUAACCGGGGAACUGCGUCUGAUACUGGAAGGCUUGAGUCCGGGAGAGGUGAGUGGAACUGCGAGUGUAGAGGUGAAAUUCGUAGAUAUUCGCAAGAACACCAGUGGCGAAGGCGGCUCACUGGCCCCGGUACUGACGCUGAGGUGCGAAAGCGUGGGGAGCAAACAGG
rnacentral:rRNA from 1 species